GAGGUGGGAGGAUUGCUUGAGCCUGGGAGGUCGAACUGCAGUGAGCUGAGAUUGUACCCCUGCACUCCAGCCUGAGUGACAGAGCAAGACCUGUCUC
rnacentral:miRNA from 1 species